GACGAACGCUGGCGGCGUGCUUAACACAUGCAAGUCGAACGAUGAAGCUAGAGCUUGCUCUGGUGGAUUAGUGGCGAACGGGUGAGUAACACGUGAGUAACCUGCCCCGAACUCUGGAAUAACUGCUGGAAACGGUAGCUAAUACCGGAUAUGACCAAUGAAGGCAUCUUCUGUUGGUGGAAAGAAUUUCGGUUCGGGAUGGACUCGCGGCCUAUCAGCUUGUUGGUGAGGUAACGGCUCACCAAGGCGACGACGGGUAGCCGGCCUGAAAGGGUGAUCGGCCACACUGGGACUGAGACACGGCCCAGACUCCUACGGGAGGCAGCAGUGGGGAAUAUUGCACAAUGGGCGCAAGCCUGAUGCGGCAACGCCGCGUGAGGGACGACGGCCUUCGGGUUGUAAACCUCUUUUAGUAGGGAAGAAGCGAAAGUGACGGUACCUGCAGAAAAAGCACCGGCUAACUACGUGCCAGCCGCCGCCGUAA
rnacentral:rRNA from 1 species